rnacentral:rRNA from 1 species
GUCGCUUGUUUAUCAAAAACAUGUCUUUUUGAGUUUAAUUUAAAGUCUGGCCUGCCCACUGAUUAUAUAUUAAAGGGCCGCAGUAUUUUGACUGUGCUAAGGUAGCAUAAUCAUUUGUUUUUUAAUUGAAAACUAGUAUGAAUGGUUGGAUGAAAUAUUUACUGUCUCUUAUUAAUAAAUUAAUAAUUUAAAUUUUUAGUAAAAAUGCUAAAAUAUUUUUUAAAGACGAGAAGACCCUAUAGAUUUUAAUUUUAAAUUUAAAAUUUUAUUUAUAUAAUUAUAUUAAUUUUUAUAUUUAAAAUUUAAUUGGGGUGAUUAAAAAAUUUAAUAAACUUUUUGUUGAUUAUAUUCAUUUGUAAAUGUAUUUUUGAUCCAUAUUUAAUGAUUAAAAGUUUAAAUUACCUUAGGGAUAACAGCGUAAUUUUUUUAGAGAGUACUAAUCGAUAAAAGAGAUUGCGACCUCGAUGUUGAAUUAAAGUAACUUUAGGUGUAGAAGUUUAAAGUAUUAGUCUGUUCGACUAAAUAAUCUUUACAUGAUCUGAGUUCAAACCGG